GAUCCUGGUUCAGGAUGAACGCUAGCUACAGGCUUAACACAUGCAAGUCGAGGGGCAGCGGGAUUGAAGCUUGCUUCAAUUGCCGGCGACCGGCGCACGGGUGAGUAACGCGUAUCCAACCUUCCGUACACUCAGGGAUAGCCUUUCGAAAGAAAGAUUAAUACCUGAUGGUAUCUUAAGCACACAUGUAAUUAAGAUUAAAGAUUUACCGGUGUACGAUGGGGAUGCGUUCCAUUAGGUAGUAGGCGGGG
rnacentral:rRNA from 1 species